GAAAACUCACCGCAACGAAACGAAACAAAUCGUUCAGAAACACUAGACCACGAGGGCCCCCCUAUAGUCCCGCUGAGGGUGUGGCAGGCCCCGUGCGAUAGGCUAACUGUGGUGUUCCCCGCACUCCGUCGAGCGGUUAAUACGACGCUUACCAAGAC
rfam:Bamboo mosaic virus satellite RNA 20 kDa protein gene, complete cds.